UCCCCCUGCCGCCAUCCGUGGUUUUCUUAGCGGCCCCAUGACCCUAAAACAGGUGCAACAUCCAGGAAUUCAGACAGGUGGGGGCCCCUGUCAACUCUGCCAGAAGCCACUGGAAGGGGGCUCCCGGUUGGACCAUAGAAGGGAGCCGGCAAGGCAGAGCCUGGUUCUGGGGAGGCUGGGUCGCCAGGCAGGUGAGCUUGCAACCUUCAGCUCACUCACCACCUCCCUGGCGCAGGGGGACUGAGCACCUCCUCGGCGCUCCUGAUGGACCUGAUUCCAGGAAGGCGGGCAGGCGUGGUUGGGCCCCUGGGCUCUGCUCUCCCAUGUCCAUUUCACCGGUCUGCUAGUGAGCUUCUGCUGGGCCUGGCUUACAUCUUGUUAGACUGCAGGGUCCUGAGAUGUCACAGGGAGCUGACUCAUGGCUGCAGUGGGUGAAUGAGUGAAGGAAGUGGAUGGAUUGGCAGGUGCAGAGAGACGGGCUGGGGACAAGUGCCCUCCCCAAAGUAAAGGGUCAGCUCAAUGAAUGAUAACCAUUUGCCAGGAUCCAGGCGCUUGCCUACCUCUCAUUCAGUCUCCCCAAGGACACCAGGGGUGUCCAUCGUUCCACCUGAAAGACGAUACGGCAGCUGCCUCGCCUAAAGCCACACGCCACAUCAGUUUGGUCCUCAUCAGCAACCUCCUUGUGUUCUCGAUGGCCCGGCGCGAGCGAGGAGGGAGAAGAAAGGAUAAAUCAGAGGCUGUUCCUUUACUGCUUAGUAACGUCCAAAAUCUGUUCCAAGCACCAGUCCUUAAAAGCCUGAGCUCUUGCCCCAGCCACGGUGCUGCUCUCUGAAAAAUAAUGUAAGCCACAUACAUCAUUUUAUGUCUUCUAGCAACCACAUUUAAAACACUGUAAAAGAAAAACAGAUAAAAUUCAUUUUUCAUUUUUAUAUUAUUUUAUAUUACAUUAUAGCAUUUAACCCAAUCUAUCACAAAAUAAGAUCAUCGCAACAGAUAAUCAAUAUAAACAUUAUUAAUGAAUCGUUUUAUAUCCUUCUUUUUUUAAUACUAAGUCACAGUCCAUCUUAAUUAGAAUAAGCACACCCAAGCUACUCAACGGCCACAUGUGGCUCGUGGCCACCAUAUUGGAGAGCACAGUUCUGGAGACAUAAUCAACCCAUUUUCAACCAAGCUGGAAGUAUUGGAAUUCUAUCGCCACCUGAGAACCAGAUGUGGGUCUCUUGUGUCUAAGAGGCAGAAGGGAUGGUGUCACCCAUGUAAACCAGCCCUGGCUGUGGCACAGACAGUGUCCUCUCCACCAGAGGCUGAAGGCUGGGUGGGGCUCUUCUAGAGAAGAGGAGCAGCCUGACCACGAUGCCAUUGACCUAGGACUAAAGUAGUGCCAACUGCUCGGUCCUCCCUCACUGUAGCCACAACCACUGGAAGCCUCCAUAAGCUUAGUUCUUACUCUGUAGUCAACAGCAACUCCCCGUCAAGCUCUGCUCUGGUGGAGGAGGCUUUGGGACACGGGUCCCUCGGGAAACUCCACAAAAGCCAAGUCAAGAAUGCUUUGGAACUUCAUGGGCUUGGGGGGCAAGAGCCACGUUCCAAAACCACAGUUCUUACCUCUUUGGGGGCCAGCCUGCUACAUGCACAUCACGGAACCCCAAGUCUCUGGGGUGCACAGAUCCCCCGAGACCUUCCUGGCUGAAUCCCCAGGGACCAGACCAGGGAGCCUGAAUGGGCAAACCAUAGCAGGCAAAUGCCAGCCGAGACUUAGCUCUGCCUCCCUGGGCUUGCAGAGGGAGGCUCGGCACCAAAGAAAAGCUCUCCUUUUGGCAUCAGGGAGCCCUGGGAUUGAAUCUUGGGCAUCCCACUGACCAGUUGCGUGACCUUGGGUAGCUUGGUUGCUCUGCAUGCUCCUCAUUUUCUGUACGCGGGAUGCUGUAGGCGGCAUCCACAUUUCAAGGCGGGUCCUGGGGGCAAAAUGAGCUGCAGGUGAAAGGGCCCAGCACAGCAUCCAGCCCAUGGCACUCAUUCACUACAGGAUGCCUGGUGCUUUGCAAGCAUCAGAGAGACCAUGGAGCAUGGCAUUAACACACAAACGCGACAUUCAGACUGAGUUCAAAUCCCCGUUCCACCAUUCAUAGCUGUGACGCUUGGGACAGACCACUCAACCUCUCAGAGUCUCCAUUUCUGCCUCAGUAGAGUGGGAAUAGGGUACCUAUCCACAAGGGGAUGAGCCAACAUACAUAAAUGUGCUCGUAAUGUUGGCUGGCUCCUGAUAAGAACCACGUGUCUGGUAAUAGCACGCCAUCACUGUGGUCAUGAAAUGGAAUGUUAGCUCACUGGGCUCUAGUGUUCAUUCUAGACAGCAAGGACUGAGACCUGGAGAAGCUGGGUGGUCGGGCCCAGGGUCACAGCUAGUUAGUGAGUGGAACCGUACAGAUUUGGGCCCCAGUCUCGUGAUGCCUGGACCACAUCUAUUCUCAGAGUCGCACAUGAAUUACAAAGCGUUGCUGUUCCAGUGACAUCACAGGCGCAAAAACAUCUGUAGGCACAGCAAUCCCACGUCUUUGAACCUGGGGAUACAUGCAACACCCCCCUUUCCUUCCUCAGAAUUGUGUGUUAUUAUUGUGUUCUUACAUGGACUGAAUCCAGUGAAGUCCAAUCAAGGUAUAAAUUUACUUUUUUCCCACCAAUGUCUUUCAACUCUGCUGGACUAGAGCUCCCUGGCCCAACCCUGGAUAACAGUGUGGGUGCAUCCCCAGGUUUUUCUAGGCAUUUUAGGUACUGGAAUGACCACCCCUUCAUAUGUAUGAUGUUUUUAAUGCAGAUGUUUAAAGGUCCCCUAUAGAAAUGGGUGCCCCCAACCCUGAAUUGAUGCAGCCCCCUUGCUGGGAUGCAAAUCUUAGAUAACAGAGCUAAGCAUGGGUUUAAGCACCUACUAGUCCAUUUGGCCAGAUACCUUUGUGCACUGUGCAAUCUAUACAACUGUACUUGGUGACCCUAAGAGCAGUCUCACUCCAGGCACUUAAAAGAUCAAUCCAAUUUCAAACUUUCCUUUGUCAUUCACUUUGACCUUUGUUCUUUCCCUAAUUUAUAGCCAGACCAUGAAUUCAGCUUCCCAUAAAGGAGUGGGAAACAUGGUCUGUGAUUUCUCUCAAUAGCUACUUCUCAGGCUCCUCCAGGGCUGGGUGGGGAUUGGAGAUAGCCUUAAAGGAUAAGUCUUUAUUUGACUGGGGCUGCUGUGAUGUGGUCAUAAUUGGAGACCAUUUGUCACUGCAGUAUGACCAGGGCUGGCCUGACUAACUCAGUCUCCUGAUGACCUUUAUUGCUCCCUCUGAGCCCUUCACAGCCUUGGUCCACUGGGCUUGGCUGGCUCAGGUGGUCAGCUCUUUGGGACUGGGUCUUUGCAAGACACUUCUCAAGACACUAGGUAACUUGACCCCCUACCCCAAGUUCUGGAAAUGGGGGCUUCCCUCCUUCUCCUCGUGCUCACUGGCCACCCAGCCAGCCUCCCCCUGUGUUUCACCAGCUGAGAGUGGGCUCGGCAAAGUCCAGGACUCAGGUGCGAUCCUCCCAAGCGUCGUCUUGGUACCAGAGGCUCUGGUGCCGGCAGCCCCAGGGGCCAGUAUGGCUGUGGGGCACAGGAAUGGGGCUCUUACAGACAGCCAUGCCCCCCACCCACACAGCAGUUCUCAUGAAGGCUCCCUCCCUUGGAUUCUACACACCGGCCGAGGAAGAGAAUGGCACCAGAUGGCCCCUCCUCUCUGGUCAAUACCUUUUUGAGCGUCUCCCCCUCUCUUACAUACCCUGCAGGUGGGUGACGAUGCCCCAGGACCGGUUUCACUGUCUCUUAGGAAGCUCUGCCUGUGUGGUGUGGCCUCAUGUUGUCUUAGAAGCUGGGCGAGUGUUCUCUAUUGAUCUCAGUUCUGGGCUUCCACUGUGGCUCCCAGACCCACCAACACCAAUGUCCUGUUACCCAUCGUGCUGUUGCUUUUAGUCUCCGUUGUAGAAUUUGAACUACUAAAAUACCGUGUUUUAUGUAAGGGGAACCAAGGCUUUUUACCAGUUUAAUUUAUCCUGAAAGACAAGAGGUGAUGUCCUCUCCAAUGAGCUUAUGAUCACCAUUAUCACGUCUACAACACAAAUAUGGCAAUAUCGACAGUCCUGGGCUGCCACUGCUUAAGAAGGUGCCUUAUGGACCCAGCUACUUUGGUCAAAGCCAGGGUCAUGUUCUCGCUGCCUCAGGAUUCAACAUGCUAAAGUCUACUCUACUCUUUUUCUCAGCCAUUGUCCAAACACCUCCACAUGUGUGCCUCUACUCUCCACGUACCUCCCGUGUCCCCCCUCUGUCUUUCUUUGAUCAACUUUCCCUCACUGGAUCUGUCUGCCCCUCUGUGUGUAUGUGUGCAUGUGUGUGUGGGGGGGUAUUUAUUCUUAAAAUGUGGGGGAAAAAAAGAAAUGUGUUUAAGAACAUCCGAACAAUAUAACCUAAACCAUGACGAUAAUUGGUAGUAAUGUGGUGAUGGUGAUAAUGAUGGUGACAGUGGGGGUGGUGACGGUGGGGGUCUAUGCAGAGCUUGCUGUAUGUCACUUGGUGCUGACCCCUCCCCCGGGAUUAUUCCAUUCACCUCUUGAGGCAGACACUAUGAUGAGCCCCACUUAAGAGCUGAGGCACACAGUCAUUAGAAAAUCUUCCUAAGGUCAUGCAGCCAAUACCGAGUACCGAAAAGCUCUGAAAUUCUUUGGCUUUAUGGAAGAAAGUAGGAAAAGAAAAUUCCUGAAUUCCCUUCUAAGAAUCCUUGGGACCUUGAUAAGAGCCCCUGCCCCUGGAAUGUGUAGGGCAGUGUCAGCAGGCCAUUCCUACUGGGGAUCACAGGUAGAAAAGGAGGAGCAGGUGACCAGAGAGCAGCAAGAGAGGUAGGAACUCUAGGAAGCUGGUGCAAAGGUGGACCAGCAGGAGGCCAGCUGCCGGGGGAGGCAGUUGGGGCCACCAGCCUCCCUGGAGGGGAUUUGGCCCUUUCGAAACAUUCGUUGCAAAUGCCUCCUGUACAGGUAGCAUCCAGCUGGCAGCUUCCCAGAGGGUCCCUCUGAGGAGUCGCUGCGUGGGCAGGUAAUCUCAGUCCCUGUCAUCAGCCACCGUACUUUGCUGGACUGAGAGCUUCCGGCAAAGCCUGCAGCUUUACACUCUGACUGGACAAGUCUUCGCACACCCAGAAGUAGGAGACAAAAAAUGGCGACUUCCCACGGCUCCGAUAGGCCGUCCGUAUCCCUAGUCAACGGAGUCCUGGCUCUCGCAUCCCUAAGUGGAUUUAAGCACUCCACCAGACUGCUGUCCCCAUCACGAAAAAGUCAUACCCGACGCGGUCAAGAGACGGACGGCAAGCCGGUAAACCAACAGCCCCAAAGUCAGCAAGAUCAUAAUUUGAAAAUUAUAACAUCGCCCCCGCUCAGUCUAUUUCACACACUUCCCAUUGAUCUGUCUAAUCUCUUAUCUGUAACUAUGAAGUUGUAUUUCCCUCUUAAUAGGCCUACAAAUGUUAUAGAUGAAUAGUUCAAUAGCAGGCCGGGUGGGAAGCAGCAGGCAUACUGAAAAGGGACAUGAGCUCCCCGCACCCACAGCCAGCGCUGCCAGACCCCCUCCGUGCCCAGAAUCUCAAUCAUCUCUGCCUCCAUCUGGCCAAAUGGCUGGAGACACGCAGCCUACACACCCCAGAGAAGAAAGUGUGCGUGUGUGUGUGCGUGUGUGUGUGUGCGUGUGUGUGUGUGUGUGUGUGUGGUGGAGGGGUGUUCGAACAGAGUGAGGGUUGGGAGGGAGAGGGCUCUCCCCACUGGACUCCAUCCCAGGGGGUUACCCCCCUGCAGUCAGGUCCCCCCAGCCCUGUUCUCUUUCUGUUGUCAGGAGCUUUUCCCCUACUGCCUGAAGUCUUCCAUGGCUCCCCACUGACUAGAGGAUGUGGCCCCAAGCCCUGAAUUUGCAUUGUGUUCAAGAACUUUUGUUACUUCCCCCCUACUUCCCAUCUCAGACUCACCAACCCCUGCUGCUCGCUCAGAUUCCUUCACUGCUAUUCCCUGCUUCUGUCCCACCCCCCACUGCCUCGGUGCCCUCUCUCCCCCUUUCUUUCCCUGGAUGACUCCACUCUACCUCUGCAGCCAGUGCAAGUAGCAGCCUCCCCCAGGAAGGCUUCCUGAACCGUGGGUAUGACCCACGGGUCGUAGCUCCCAAAAAGAUAUGUGAAUGUGACCUGAUGGGAAAGGGAGUUUUGUAGAGGUAAUUAGGAGUCUUGAGAUGAGAUCAUCUUGCCCCGGGACUGGCCCUAGACCUAGUGUUGGGUCUCUUUGUAAAAAAAAAAAAGGCAGGAGAUGUGAGACAGACACACAGAGAAGGAGUCCAUGUGAAGACGGAAGCAGAGAUUCGAGUGACGUGUCUUCAUUUUUCUUAAUUUUUUUAAUGUUUAUUUAUUUUUGAGACAGAGAGAGACAGAGCAUGAGCAGGGGAGGGGCAGAGAGAGAGGGAGACACAGAAUCCGAAGCAGGCUCCAGGCUCUGAGCUGUCAGCACAGAGCCCGACGCGGAGCUCGAACCCACAAACCGUGAGAUCAUGACCUGAGCCGAAGUCGGACGCUCAACCGACUGAGCCACCCAGGCGCCCCGGAGUGACGUGUCUUCAAGCCAAGGGGCGCCAAGGAUGCCAGCAACACCAGAGGCUGGAAGAGGCUGGAAGGACCCUCCCGAGGACCUUCAGAGGGCACGUCCACCUGUUCACACCUUGAUUUCAAACUUCUGGCCCCAGACCUGUGGGAGAAUAAAUGGCUUUUGUCUUGAA